CCUACGGGAGGCAGCAGUGAGGAAUAUUGGUCAAUGGUCGGGAGACUGAACCAGCCAAGCCGCGUGAGGGAGGAAGGUACAGAGUAUCGUAAACCUCUUUUGUCAGGGAACAAAGGCGGGGACGUGUCCCCGGAUGAGUGUACCUGAAGAAAAAGCAUCGGCUCACUCCGUGCCAGCAGCCGCGGUAAUACGGGGGAUGCGACCGUUAUCCGGAUUUAUUGGGUUUAAGGGGUACGCGGGCGGUCUGUUAAGUCAGCGGUAAAAGCCCGGGGGUCAACCCCGGCCUGCCGUUGAAACUGGCAGGCUCGAGUUGGAGAGAAGUAUGCGGAAUGCGCGGUGUAGCGGUGAAAUGCAUAGAGAUCGCGCAGAACUCCGAUUGCGAAGGCAGCAUGCCGGAUCCACACUGACGCUGAGGCACGAAAGCGUGGGUAGCGAACAGGAUUAGAUACCCCAGUAGUC
rnacentral:rRNA from 1 species